UACGUAGGGUGCUAGCGUUGUCCGGAAUCAUUGGGCGUAAAGCGCGUGUAGGCGGUCCGGUAAGUCCGCUGUGAAAGUCGGGGGCUCAACCCUCGGAUGCCGGUGGAUACUGUCGGGCUCGAGUAUGGAAGAGGCGAGUGGAAUUCCUGGUGUAGCGGUGAAAUGCGCAGAUAUCAGGAGGAACACCAAUUGCGAAGGCAGCUCGCUGGGACGUUACUGACGCUGAGACGCGAAAGCGUGGGGAGCAAACAGG
rnacentral:rRNA from 1 species